GCGGCCGUGGCGGAACGGCAGACGCGCUAGGUUGAGGGCCUAAUGGGAGUAUUCCGUGGAGGUUCAAAUCCUCUCGGCCGCA
rnacentral:tRNA from 1 species